UACAGAAGUGAGCCAAAAAUUGUCCUUGCCACCAGCAUCAAUCCAAAGAUAGUUGGAGGUUGUAAACUUUACUAUGUGUAGUUUAUUCAUUUUAAUAUAGCUUUGGAGUAAUGCAUUGCAUAGAAUUUGUUUUUGACCGGAUAUAACUUCACAUAAACUUGAUGUAUUCUUUGUAGGCCGGCUAUUUCUGAGUUCAACAUCUGGAACACAUAUUUAAUUUGACAGUGAGACAGCUCUAGGAAAUGAGAAGUUUGACAAACUGAGCUGAUGGCACAGAGCAGAUGGCAGCGUCGUCAAAGGUAGCUCAUGUCCAGAAAAUUGAGCCACUCACCAUCUCUGAGCUUAAUGAAUAUGUGAUCGCUGCCCAGCCUCAGAUAAUUGAGUUUCUCUGCAUUCCAGCUCAAGCUAACCGAGGUUAAUUAACAAGACAUUCUCUCAA